rnacentral:rRNA from 1 species
UACGUAGGGUGCAAGCGUUUGUCCGGAAUUAUUGGGCGUAAGAGCGUGUAGGCGGCCCGAUUAGUCCGCUGUGAAAGUCCAGGGCUCAACCCUGGAAUGCCGGUGGAUACUGUCGGACUAGAGUCCGGAAGGGGCGAGUGGAAUUCCUGGGUGAGCGGUGAAAUGCGCAGAUAUCAGGAGGAACACCAAUGGCGAAGGCAGCUCGCUGGGACGUGACUGACGCUGAGACGCGAAAGCGUGGGGAGCAAACAGG